UACGUAGGGCGCAAGCGUUGUCCGGAAUUAUUGGGCGUAAAGAGCUCGUAGGCGGUUUGUCGCGUCUGGUGUGAAAACUCGAGGCUCAACCUCGAGCUUGCAUCGGGUACGGGCAGACUAGAGUGCGGUAGGGGAGACUGGAAUUCCUGGUGUAGCGGUGGAAUGCGCAGAUAUCAGGAGGAACACCGAUGGCGAAGGCAGGUCUCUGGGCCGCAACUGACGCUGAGGAGCGAAAGCGUGGGGAGCGAACAGG
rnacentral:rRNA from 1 species